GCACUCUUGGUUUAGUGGUAAAAUCAGCGCUUCCCACAUCCGAUUGCGCUGGCCCCGGGUUCGAUUCCCUGAGGGUGCA
rnacentral:tRNA from 1 species